UACGAAGGGGGCUAGCGUUGUUCGGAAUUACUGGGCGUAAAGCGAGCGUAGGUUGCUCGAUGUGUCAGUGGUGAAAGCCCGGAGCUUAACUCCGGAACUGCCAUUGAAACUGUCUGGCUUGAGGCCGGGAGAGGGUAGCGGAAUUCCCAGUGUAGCGGUGAAAUGCGUAGAUAUUGGGAGGAACACCAGUGGCGAAGGCGGCUACCUGGACCGGUUCUGACGCUGAGGCGCGAAAGCGUGGGUAGCAAACAGG
rnacentral:rRNA from 1 species